rnacentral:rRNA from 1 species
UUUAUGGGUAGGGCUUCACACGUCAUACAAUGGUCGGUACAGAGGGUUGCCAAGCCGCGAGGUGGAGCCAAUCCCUUAAAGCCGAUCGUAGUCCGGAUCGUAGUCUGCAACUCGACUACGUGAAGUCGGAAUCGCUAGUAAUCGCAGAUCAGCAUGCUGCGGUGAAUACGUUCCCGGGUCUU